GUUUAUACAGCGAAAUAUCUACUUUUUGAUAUGGGACGUGCUCUGACGUCCCUCGGCCCCAGCUUGUCUGGCAAAACAGCCGUUGCACAUCAGAACAAUCUGUGAAACGUGGAGACCUCUGAAGAUCCUCGCCACGCCACGUAAAAAAUAAGAGGUAUAGAAUAUCCUGUAAUCAUAUAAAGCAUCAAAACAAAUGAAAACAUUGACAACAAUAAGGCUUAACUCAUCAGAUGGAUACAUCUAACAAAAAUCUAUGAUUAUUUCAAGAAAAUUAUCAAUGCAUAUGAGCAUAUAAUAUAAAAAAAAGAUGUGGUAUGAUUGCCAAUGAGACAACUCUUCACAAGAGACCAUGUGACACAGAAAUUAACAACUAUAGGUCACCGUACGACCUUCAACAAUGAGCAAAGCUCAUACCUCAUAGUUAGCUAUAAAAAGACCUGAAAUGACAAAUGUAGAACAAUUCAAACGAGAAAACUAACGGCCUAAUUUAUGUAUAAAAAAAAUGAACAAAAACAAAUAUGUAACACAGCAACAAACGACAACCACUGAAUUAAAGACUCCUGACUUUGGACAGGCACAUACAUACAGAAUGUGGCGAGGCUAAACAUGUUAGCGGGAUCCCAACCCUCCCCUUAACCUGGGACAGUGGUGUAACAGUACAACAUAAGAACGAACUAUACAAAUCAGUUGAAAAAGGCUUAACUCAUCAGAUUGAUACAAAUAGAAAUACAUCUAACAAAAACAGAGAGUGGACGUGACCGAGUACUUGUACAUCCCAUCAACAAAAAGACACUAAGUACAGAUCUGAGAGUACUUGCAGUUACUGACAGCUAGUUCAAAGCCAAUUACAACUAAUAAAAAGUAAUGCAUCUGAGACUAAAUUAUCAAUCAUUACACAUCCAACAUCCAAUGGCACGGUAAACAACAUCUCCGUAAAAAUGAGGAUGUGCUAUCCCGUUUGAAAUAAUUUUUUUACAGGUAGAACCAAACUUCAAAACCAAAUCUAGAAUUUAGUAAAGAUUUUAAGUGAUUUGUGGUAACUAAAUUCCUGACUUAAUAUUAUUUACCAGUAAUACAUAGAUUUCGUUCAUUAAAAUCCAAAUCGUUACAACAGACACGGACAUAGCGAAGAGUGUUGUGAUAUACAAACACUGUAAGAUAGUGCCAAAGGAACAUCACCAUCCAAAAAAGGAAAAUUAACAAUAAGGAACGAAGUAUGGAAAGCAAAACAAAUACUUUUAAAAUUAUCAGUACAUAUGAGCAUAUAAAUAUCGAAAAUAGAUCAAUACUUUUCGCUUGGGUUUGGAUGACUUUUAAAUAAAACGAC
rnacentral:lncRNA from 1 species